AUACGGAGAGUGCGAGCGUUAAUCGGAAUUACUGGGCGUAAAGCGUGCGUAGGCGGUUUGCUAAGUCAGAUGUGAAAGCCCCGGGCUUAACCUGGGAACUGCAUUUGAUACUGGCAGACUAGAGUAUGAUAGAGGGGGGUAGAAUUCCUGGUGUAGCGGUGAAAUGCGUAGAUAUCAGGAGGAAUACCAGUGGCGAAGGCGGCCCCCUGGAUCAAUACUGACGCUGAGGUACGAAAGCGUGGGGAGCGAACAGGAUUAGAAACCCUAGUAGUCC
rnacentral:rRNA from 1 species